GGGCAGGUGAUCCGAUUGGUAAUGGUGAUUCUCUGUAAAAGAAUUGGUUAACACUGUAAAAGGUUCGAUUCCUUUACUGCUCA
rnacentral:tRNA from 1 species